UACGUAGGGGGCAAGCGUUGUCCGGAUUUAUUGGGCGUAAAGAGCGUGUAGGCGGCCAGGUAGGUCUGCUGUGAAAACUCGAGGCUCAACCUCGAGCUGUCGGCGGAAACCAUCUGGCUAGAGUCCGGAAGAGGAGAAUGGAAUUCCCGGUGUAGCGGUGAAAUGCGCAGAUAUCGGGAAGAACACCCGUGGCGAAGGCGGUUCUCUGGGACGGUACUGACGCUGAGGCGCGAAGGCUAGGGGAGCAAACGGG
rnacentral:rRNA from 1 species